AAUACCUAGGAAUCUGCCUGGUAGUGGGGGACAACGUUUCGAAAGGAACGCUAAUACCGCAUACGUCCUACGGGAGAAAGCAGGGGACCUUCGGGCCUUGCGCUAUCAGAUGAGCCUAGGUCGGAUUAGCUAGUUGGUGAGGUAAUGGCUCACCAAGGCUACGAUCCGUAACUGGUCUGAGAGGAUGAUCAGUCACACUGGAACUGAGACACGGUCCAGACUCCUACGGGAGGCAGCAGUGGGGAAUAUUGGACAAUGGGCGAAAGCCUGAUCCAGCCAUGCCGCGUGUGUGAAGAAGGUCUUCGGAUUGUAAAGCACUUUAAGUUGGGAGGAAGGGCAUUAACCUAAUACGUUAGUGUUUUGACGUUACCGACAGAAUAAGCACCGGCUAACUCUGUGCCAGCAGCCGCGGUAAUACAGAGGGUGCAAGCGUUAAUCGGAAUUACUGGGCGUAAAGCGCGCGUAGGUGGUUCGUUAAGUUGGAUGUGAAAUCCCCGGGCUCAACCUGGGAACUGCAUCCAAAACUGGCGAGCUAGAGUAGGGCAGAGGGUGGUGGAAUUUCCUGUGUAGCGGUGAAAUGCGUAGAUAUAGGAAGG
rnacentral:rRNA from 1 species